CUCGUUUCCCAUUCAGUUUCUCUUUCAAUUUUAAGAAUACCUAUGACUGGAGAACAGAUAUUGUGGAUCCCAUUCAACAGAUGAUGAAACCAAGAGUCUGAUGGACUUGGUGAAUGAAGGAUGCAGACGUUUGGAUUCUAAGACCAGUAUGGCUUCCAUCUCAUCCUGUUGCCAGUUGUCCCUUAUACACUCAAAACCUCAAUUUAUAAACAGUGCCCAGCAAAGUCCAACCAACAAAUGAUAUGGCCAGCUAGUAUUUAUUGAAUAAAUGAAUGAAAGAGAAAAAAAAGAGGAAAGAGAGAAAACAGCAAAACAAGCUAAGUUUGGUUUCCAUGAAAUGAACUUUCAAUUAUAUUUCCCAAAUCUGACUUACAGAAG
rnacentral:lncRNA from 10 species